GGGACCUUGGGCGUCCAUUAGUGGCAGGUAUGGAUCAGAAGAACCCAAACCUCCUGACCUCCAGUCUAACGUCCACACAACGAAGAUGCCAAAAUUGACAUAGGUGGGUGCCGAGUGCUGCUGUGGAUCCUUGGAAAAAGGAGGUGAACCGUGAAGAAGCACAACUGCAGGAAGAGCGGUCUCGCUGGUGGAGGAGGCAUGGCAGUAGGUUCUCCAGAGUCCACAGGGUCAUCCAUUCUGGCCGGAUAUCUCUGGUUGGAGGAGUAAAGGCUUUGCACUGGCAUGGAUCAAAAGGGCUGCACACGGAGACCAUUCUGCCCACA